AUGUGCCCUUAUCUAUGGAAACUAAAAAGGGGCAAAGACAGACCUCAGCAAGAUGGAUUCUAAAAUUCAUGCAGAAAACAGUCAGCCUCUCAGUGAAAACAGGCAUUUCACGAGUUUUCAGGCAUCAUCUGUGUCUCAAAGGAUGGAGAUGAGAAAUAAAGAUCUGGGCUCCACUUUUCCAGAGGUCAAGAGCGAUCCAGAGCGCAGAAUGAACAGAACGUGCUUACAAGAGAUGGUGCAAAUGAUGGAAGAAAUGGAAAAGGCCAUCAUAAAGGAAAAAAGUGAAAUAUUGGAAGAAAGUGAGCGAAUCAUAGAACAAGACAAAAUCAUAGAGGGUAUGCAGAAAAAAGUAAACGAAUUCUUAGGAGUGCAGAACCUUAAAUUUGUUGAGUUGAACUAUCUGUGGCUGUUUAGCAGGCCCUUAAAAUUGUCUGUCUGCUAUUUCAUCGCACUGCUGUUGUUUUAUAAAUCCUUACAUGUUUUGGCCUGGCUAUGUCUUCAACUGAGUAACAUCUACUGGCACUACCUACCAUGUGAAUAUCCAUACUGAUGCAAGAGGAUUUGAAAAACUGGCCUUUAGUGGUUACUGUAUUGCAUCUGCAGAGACAAUAAAGCAAAGUAAUUCUUAAAUCA
rnacentral:lncRNA from 1 species